rnacentral:rRNA from 1 species
UAGCAUAUGCUUGUCUUAAAGACUAAGCCAUGCAUGUCUAAGUAUAAACCUUUAUACGGUGAAACUGCGAAUGGCUCAUUAAAUCAGUUAUAGUUUAUUUGAUAAUACCUACUACUUGGAUAACCGUAGUAAUUCUAGAGCUAAUACAUGCUAAAGCACCCGACUCGCGAAGGGUGGCAUUUAUUAGAUAAAAAACCAAUGCGGGCCUCGGCCCGGUCCAUUGAUGACUCAUAAUAACUGAGCGAAUCGCAUGGCCUCCGCGCCGGCGAUGAUUCAUU